GCUCCUGUGGCGGAAUUGGAAUACGCGCUGCGCUUAGGACGCAGUCCCGCAAGGGUUAGAGGUUCGAGUCCUCUCAGGAGCACAA
rnacentral:tRNA from 1 species